UCGUCGUGGGCUUAUGUCUUGUAUUGGAUGAUGGGAAUUUAAACCUCUUCCAGAGUAUCAAUUGGAGGGCAAGUCUGGUGCCAGCAGCCGCGGUAAUUCCAGCUCCAAUAGCGUAUAUUAAAAUUGUUGCAGUUAAAAAGCUCGUAGUUGAAUUUCUGCUGCAUUUCAUUUCUCUUUCUGAGUUUGUUUUUGCGGCUUAUUUCGGUUUGAUUUUUUCUUUCCGGAUGAUUACUUUGAGAAAAUUAGAGUGCUCAAAGCAGGCUUUUGCCUUGAAUAGUUUAGCAUGGAAUAAUAAAGUAGGACUUUGGUUCUAUUUUGUUGGUUUUAGGUACCAAAGUAAUGGUUAAUAG
rnacentral:rRNA from 1 species